CUGGAAUGAUGCGAUUUAGCCAAAUCAGACAUUAAUGUGCUCCAUGAGGCAACCGAUAAUAUUAUCUGUUUUGAUCAUGUUGAAGCGCAUGUCUCUGAUGAUUAACAUGGAGAUUAGGUGUUUAUAUUCCUGACCAGA